rnacentral:lncRNA from 1 species
AUCCGGCUGAGAGAGAAAGGAUUCUGGGAGAUAGUCAGGCAUGGGAGAUUCACCCCAGACACAGAAUAAGACAGCGCAUGCAACUGAGGACCAGCUCUGGAAGCACAAAGUAGAAAGACACUGAGCGGGCGAGGGAGCCUAAAGUGAACCCAGCUGUGUGGCCCUGGAGCUGGCAACUUCUCUGAGCCUCUGUUUUCUUCCACUGUAAAAUGGAGAGUCUCUUCGGUCUUGUGAGGACACAGCAUUGGCUUCUAGGCAACUGGAACUCAGUCUGGCAUGUGGUAGGUCUGUGGUGCUAGAAGCAUGUGUAUCUAAGUGCUGGGCCCACUCAAGGAUCAAGACACCACACACACACAUGCACACACACACACACACACACACGCAUACACACACACAGAGGCACACACGCUCACUCACACACACACAGGCACACACAGAUAUAUUCACCAAGGCACGAAUACAGGCUCUCACACACACUGUACUGACAUAGCCUCAGUCUGCUAUGUUCCCCACAUGUUCCCCACGUGUUCCCCACAUGUUCCCCACAUGUUCUCCACAUGUUCAUGCUUUGUCCUCUAGCUAGUGGUGCUGUUUUGGAGGCCAAGGAAACUUUAGAAUGUAGACCCUCACUUUUGGAAGUAGUCGCUUGGGGCAGAUCUUUGAAUAUUACAGCCUGGGGGCUGGAGAGAUGACUCAGUGGUUAAAGGCACUGGCUGCUCAUCCAGAGCAACUCAGUUCUGAGCACCCCUCCAACUCAGUUCUCAGCACCGCACAUGGCAGCUCACAACUCUCUAUAGCCCAAGUUUCAAGGGAUCCAGUGUGUUCUUCUGGUCUCUGUGGGCACCAAACAUACAUGCAGUACACAGAUGCACACACACAAACAAACAAGCAAGCAAGCAAGUACAUACAUACAUACAUACAUACAUACAAACAUACAUACAUACACGGAAGCAAUGGCCUUCAUCAUACACUCCCACAACCACGAUUGAACCCACAUACAGCUUUGCCUUCCUCAUCAUGAUGGAGGAAAACCGUCUGAAGCCAUGAGCUGAAACAAGUUGUUUCUUCCUGUCAAGUAUUGUGGCUGCAAAAACAACUGAUACGUGCACACACGCUUACGGGUUGUUCUCACCCUGAAAGUCAAUGCGUUGGAUCCACUCUGAAGACCUUUGGAACAUACCACAGCCAACCCACAGGAUGCUUCAAGGAUUUUUCUAAGUGCUUCUGAUGUGUGCACAAGAUCUACUAUCUACUAAUUCAACUCCCCAAAAUAACCCCGGGAAUAAGCAGUGAUACUUAGGAGGGCGCUGGCCUCUGCUCUAACCUGGAGAUGAGCAAUACUUACCUUCUCCAUUCCCUUGUCCCCUCCCACCUGACAUGCCCCACCCUGGGAUAUAGCUCCACCAAUGAGACUGACAGGGACCCAAGUGACCAAUGUGAGUCACAGAGAAUCUAAAACAGUCAAGUUGCCUCAAGAUCAUGCCACGAUAGUAUGUGCUGCUAAAGAAGGGCUGUCUAUGUUUAGAAAGCCGGUACUGGAAUUGUUUGGCAAUUGGCCUGAAUAUGGGCAUAACUGGGCGACAGACGUGGGAAACACCAAUUUAGACCGAGGGACCUUUUGGAAAUGGAGUUCUGAGUCCUUCCUCAGUUUAAAAGCCUUCAUGGUGAAGAAGCCAAAAUAUGAGCUGUGGGGACCCUUCCCAGUGACUCAUGAAUGUCUCCAGGACAAGCCAAAGCUGUCCCUAACCUCAUACCCAUUCCCAGGAUAUCACUAAGCAGGGCCUGCUGCUAAGUCCGCAAAAGCUGCUAUUGCCAGGUCGAUGCAGCUGCCUCCCUUCUUCCUUUGGAUAAGUUCCUGAAGGCCUCCCUGACCAACAGUGUGCAGCAUCUCCCAGCCACCCUCUGCAGGGAGCCGUGUGUGGUCCUCUCAGCCUUUCCCUGCCCCCUUUGGUUACUUACCCAGUACCAGGAAUUCUGUCUGGUCACUUGUCACCUCUAAUAAAUCAUGAGCUCCCUGGGGACAGGAAUCCCAGAA